AAGUUGCACUGACAUCAGGAAGAUCCAAUUUGGGUUGCUGCUCAGCUUCAAGACGAAGGUUGGGUGGCUCAAACUAAUCUGACCAACAUCCACUGUUCUAAUUGUGAUGGUCAUGUUGGAUGGAAAAUUAUUAAUGAGUUCAGCAAUCACCCAAUAGUCCGUCCUGGCCAAUACAUAAUGCAAAUUGAUUCUGAGAAUGAGAUUAUUUAUGGGAGAGUGCCAGGCCACGUUGAAUCUGACUGAAGAAAAUAUAGCUGAUGGAUGUAGGUACCAAAUCCAAAUGGGAUCGAUGCUACUGCUGAAAAGUACUAUUACAAUCGAUUCGAUUCAUUUAAUUUGUUUUCCUAUCUA